rnacentral:rRNA from 1 species
UGGCCUCCAAWUCAGGWAGAACUCCCGCCUAACUUAAGCAUAUCAAUAAGCGGAGGA